UGGCGGGCGCCCCUCCCCCAGCCUGUCUUCCGCCUUGCAGUUUGAUCUCAGACUGCUGUGCUAGCAAUCAGCGAGACUCCGUGGGCGUAGGACCCUCCGAGCCAGGCAUCAGCUAUCAAAACUUAUGGGAAAUGGAAUUGAAGACAACUACUUCUAGAAUUGGUGCAUGGAAGCUUCUCAUAGGUGAUUAGCCACACUCUUCUUCUGUCAACCUGGUGCAGAAAAGCUUGAAGACCUUGGAAAUCACAUAUUGAUGAUGGAGGAGAUACAAGAAUGAAGGACCCUGGGUUCCUGAAUCAACACUCUAAGAAGAGACUCCUUGAAAUCAAGAGCACUCAUUUUGACAUUGCAAACGGAAAAAUUCACUUCUAUCAGGUGUCAUUAGUUCCUUGCUAGAAUUUCUUUGGUGUCCUUUCUGCAUUUCAAACUCACAAAGGU
rnacentral:lncRNA from 1 species